UGGACCGUAUCAGAAAGCUCGCUGAUAACUGUACUGGUCUCCAAGGAUUCCUCGUCUUCAACGCUGUUGGUGGAGGGACUGGAUCUGGUCUUGGAUCUCUCCUCCUUGAGAGACUUUCUGUUGACUAUGGCAAAAAGUCCAAGUUGGGUUUCACUGUUUACCCUUCUCCUCAGGUCUCUACUUCUGUUGUUGAGCCUUACAACAGUGUCCUCUCCACUCACUCACUCUUGGAACACACUGAUGUCUCCAUCCUCCUUGACAAUGAAGCUAUCUAUGACAUCUGCAGACGCUCCCUAAGCAUUGAGAGACCAACCUACACCAACCUCAACCGUCUUGUCUCUCAGGUAUAGUAGCCAGCCUCAUUGAUUUACAUCAGCCUUGUUGCUGUUUCAUUUUCCUGGCUCAUCUAAUGUUUUCGUUCUCUCUUUUUUUUGGUUUCAGGUUAUUUCUUCCUUGACUGCUUCUCUGAGGUUCGAUGGUGCCUUGAAUGUUGAUGUCACUGAGUUCCAAACCAACUUGGUGCCAUACCCAAGAAUCCACUUUAUGCUUUCCUCCUAUGCCCCAGUCAUCUCUGCAGAGAAGGCCUUCCAUGAGCAACUCUCAGUUGCUGAGAUCACAAACAGUGCUUUUGAGCCAGCUUCCAUGAUGGCUAAGUGUGAUCCUCGUCACGGAAAGUACAUGGCCUGCUGUUUGAUGUACCGUGGUGAUGUUGUCCCCAAGGAUGUGAACGCAGCUGUUGGCACAAUCAAGACCAAGCGCACUAUUCAGUUUGUUGACUGGUGUCCUACUGGAUUCAAGUGUGGUAUCAACUACCAGCCACCAACUGUUGUUCCAGGAGGUGAUCUUGCUAAAGUGCAGAGAGCUGUUUGUAUGAUCUCAAACUCCACCAGUGUUGCUGAGGUGUUCUCCCGUAUUGAUCACAAGUUUGAUCUUAUGUACGCCAAACGUGCUUUCGUUCACUGGUAUGUGGGUGAGGGUAUGGAAGAAGGUGAAUUCUCAGAGGCUCGUGAGGAUCUUGCAGCAUUGGAGAAGGAUUAUGAAGAGGUUGGUGCUGAAGGUGGUGACGAUGAGGAUGAUGAAGGAGAGGAGUACUAAGAAGAAGGUUGUGGGUUUUAUGUGGGCUUUCUAUUAUCUCGUGUUUGUGUGAAUGGGCUCGAAACUCUUACGAGUCCUAGUUGUGUUUUUCAAAAACCAUAUUUCUAUCUCUUGCUUGUGGCGGUAGCCAUUUGUUUUCUAUUAUCUAGUUCGUUUGUGUUUCUGGUAAUAUCUCUCAUUUCCAAGAACUGAAUUUAAGAUGGGUGUUUGGC
rnacentral:lncRNA from 1 species